UGGGGGAUUUUGCACAAUGGGCGCAAGCCUGAUGCAGCGACGCCGCGUGAGGGAUGAAGGCCUUCGGGUUGUAAACCUCUUUCGCUGGGUUGAAAGGCCAUGCUUUGGGUGUGGUUGAUUUGAACUGGUAAAGAAGUACCGGCUAACUACGUGCCAGCAGCCGCGGUAAUACGUAGGGUACUAGCGUUGUCCGGAUUUAUUGGGCGUAAAGGGCUUGUAGGUGGUUUGUCGCGUCUGUCGUGAAAUCCUGUGGCUUAACCAUGGGCUUGCGGUGGGUACAGGCAGGCUUGAGUGCGGUAGGGGAGACUGGAAUUCCUGGUGUAGCGGUGGAAUGCGCAGAUAUCAGGAGGAACACCGGUGGCGAAGGCGGGUCUCUGGGCCGUUACUGACACUGAGGAGCGAGAGCGUGGGGAGCGAACAGG
rnacentral:rRNA from 1 species